rnacentral:rRNA from 1 species
UUGGUCCUACGGGAGGCAGCAGUGGGGGAUAUUGGACAAUGGGGGAAACCCUGAUCCAGCGAUGCCGCGUGAGGGAAGAAGGUUUUCGGAUUGUAAACCUCUGUGGAGGGGGACGAUAAUGACGGUACCCCUUUAGGAAGCCACGGCUAACUACGUGCCAGCAGCCGCGGUAAUACGUAGGGAGCAAGCGUUGUCCGGAAUUACUGGGCGUAAAGGGCGCGUAGGUGGGUGCUUAAGUCAGGUGUGAAAACUCUGGGCUCAACCUGGAGACUGCACUU